GAGUUGGGAUUGCCAUGGGCGCAGCCUGAUGCAGCCAUGCCGCGUGUAUGAAGAAGGCCUUCGGGUUGUAAAGUACUUUCAGUCGUGAGGAAGGUGGUGUUGUUAAUAGCAGCAUCAUUUGACGUUAGCGACAGAAGAAGCACCGGCUAACUCCGUGCCAGCAGCCGCGGUAAUACGGAGGGUGCGAGCGUUAAUCGGAAUUACUGGGCGUAAAGCGCAUGCAGGUGGUUUGUUAAGUCAGAUGUGAAAGCCCGGGGCUCAACCUCGGAAUAGCAUUUGAAACUGGCAGACUAGAGUACUGUAGAGGGGGGUAGAAUUUCAGGUGUAGCGGUGAAAUGCGUAGAGAUCUGAAGGAAUACCGGUGGCGAAGGCGGCCCCCUGGACAGAUACUGACACUCAGAUGCGAAAGCGUGGGGAGCAAACAGGAUUAGAUACCCUGGUAGUCCACGCCGUAAACGAUGUCUACUUGGAGGUUGUGGCCUUGAGCCGUGGCUUUCGGAGCUAACGCGUUAAGUAGACCGCCUGGGGAGUACGGUCGCAAGAUUAAAACUCAAAUGAAUUGACGGGGGCCCGCACAAGCGGUGGAGCAUGUGGUUUAAUUCGAUGCAACGCGAAGAACCUUACCUACUCUUGACAUCCAGAGAACUUUCCAGAGAUGGAUUGGUGCCUUCGGGAACUCUGAGACAGGUGCUGCAUGGCUGUCGUCAGCUCGUGUUGUGAAAUGUUGGGUUAAGUCCCGCAACGAGCGCAACCCUUAUCCUUGUUUGCCAGCGAGUAAUGUCGGGAACUCCAGGAGACUGCCGGUGAUAAACCGGGAGGAAGGUGGGGACGACGUCAAGUCAUCAUGGCCCUUUACGAGUAGGGCUACACACGUGCUACAUGGCGCAUACAGAGGGCAGCCACUUGCGAAAGUGAGCGAUCCCAAAAAGUGCGUCGUAGUCCGGAUUGAGUCUGCACUC
rnacentral:rRNA from 1 species